GCUUAACCGGAGAAGUGCAUCGGAAACUGGGAGACUUGAGUGCAGAAGAGGACAGUGGAACUCCAUGUGUAGCGGUGGAAUGCGUAGAUAUAUGGAAGAACACCAGUGGCGAAGGCGGCUGUCUAGUCUGUAACUGACGCUGAGGCUCGAAAGCAUGGGUAGCGAACAGGAUUAGAUACCCUGGUAGUCCAUGCUGUAAACGAUGAGUGCUAAGUGUUGGAGGGUUUCCGCCCUUCAGUGCUGCAGCUAACGCAUUAAGCACUCCGCCUGGGGAGUACGACCGCAAGGUUGAAACUCAAAGGAAUUGACGGGGGCCCGCACAAGCGGUGGAGCAUGUGGUUUAAUUCGAAGCUACGCGAAGAACCUUACCAGGUCUUGACAUCUUCUGCCAAUCUUAGAGAUAAGACGUUCCCUUCGGGGACAGAAUGACAGGUGGUGCAUGGUUGUCGUCACCUCGUGUCGUGAGAUGUUGGGUUAAGUCCCGCAACGAGCGCAACCCUUAUUAUCAGUUGCCAGCAUUCAGUUGGGCACUCUGGUGAGACUGCCGGUGACAAACCGGAGGAAGGUGGGGAUGACGUCAAAUCAUCAUGCCCCUUAUGACGUGAGCUACACACGUGCUACAAUGGAACGUACAACG
rnacentral:rRNA from 1 species